CAGUGGCUUAAUUUGACUCAACGCGGGGAAUCUUACCUCUUUUUGUCAAAUUUAAAGACAAAAGACAGAUCUUUCAUGAUUAUGUGAUGGGUGCAUGGCCGUUCUUAGUUCGUGGAGAGAUCUGUCUGCUUAAUUGCGUUUCAAAUAUAUUUUAUUAUAUAACGCUACAAAGGAGUGGUUCAUUAACAGACAAUCAUAUCUUUGAGCGUCUGGAAUCUACUCUAUUUGGCUCAAUUGAACGCAACGGACGUGAUCGCGAGUCCUUGUUGAACUUCAGUAUAUAUUGACUUUCCCCGUAGGAAGGGAUUGGCAAUAAUUGAAUGUUCGCUUUCUAUAGGUGUGUAUGAUUAAUCUCAAAAUUACAUGUAUUUGUAGUGGCGAGUAUAAUCUAUCCUAUAGGAAAACUCGGGCGAC
rnacentral:rRNA from 1 species